rnacentral:lncRNA from 10 species
AGUCUUUGUAAAAGUGACGUGAAGAGAUUUUCAUGUUGGAAAGAUGACUAACUGCAUCGUAGAAUUAAUGUGAAAGGGUGGCCCAAGGAAGCAAGUUUCUUCACAGCUAUUGCAAUAAACAGGGUCUACUGGAGACCUUGGCUUUUUAUUUCCCUGACACAACUUCACACUGCUGGAGCAAUGCUUGGAUUGCUCUGGAAACACUGGCAAAUCUCAAGAUGCAGUUCAGGCUUCUCCAUGAUGAGUGUGAGUCCCUAGGCUGUCUCUCAAACUAAAGAUUCCCCAGCCAGGCAACUCUAAAGAGUCUUCGACAAGGCAACACAAUUACUCUGUGUGCUUAGAAGAAGAGGGGUCAUAAAUGUCAGCUGUUGCUCUUUGAGUCCUGCUAAUUCAUUCAUUGAUUCACUCAUCUUUCCCACAGGCAUGUGCUGUGCGUUUACUGUACUGCAUGACACUGUGGAGGUUAUAAAGAAAUAAAAUAUUUGGGGCUUA